CAAUAAAGCUAAGUGAUAAAAUUAACAUGUAAAGUACACAAAAAAAAUGUUCUUUACCAUCUUAAGAAUGGUGUGCAUGUUCUCGAGCUCCACUAAGGAGGCUUGGGAACUGUAAAUCUUUCUGCAGACUACAGGGUGUCCUCAAAAAAUGUAUACACACUUUAAAGUGGCACUAAACCAAAAUAUACAUUUUAAAAUAGGAAUUGUUAUCAAAACUACAUAUAAUAUUAAUCACUUUGAUGAUAGUACGAGUCGGAAAAAGUGAGCUGAACGUGUUUUAUUAAAGAGCAAAGUUGCGAAAGUAUGACUCGACAUCCCAGUGGCUGCCACAUUGUCCAUGACGAUGUGACGUCUCGUGCAGGCAUCACACUGGGACAGUCGUCAUUGACAACACGCUGUGCCAAAUGGAAUGCCAGAUGAACAAGAGCGAUUUUCAGAUUUUUCUGACGCUCCUUCUGAGACUGAAGCUCUUUUUGAGGAAGAGAACAUCUCAGAAACAGACGUGGAGGACGAGAAACCCGAUGAAAUGUUCAAAAUGACUGGCCCAUAAUUGUUCAAUUUCCUUGUCUAUGGAGCGUACUCAGGAGGACCCAUGCUGGGCAAAGUAAAUACGGCAGAGGUCCCCAGACACCGGUAGCCGGUGGCGGGAAGAGCUCCUUUCUCCUCCCUGCCCCCGGUGCGACCAGACGCAGCCACCCGACUCCCCGCCCAAUCCACCUCCGCGUCGGGGUAAAUGGCGGCACGUACCACCGUUAACAGCGCCCCGUACGCAUCGACACAUUUAGCACCCCUGAUUUACGUACUUCAUUAAGUUAUUAUGACUUGGAUCUUUUGUUACAUUCUGAGAGAAGGAUUACGUUGUCGGACGCGGAUUUCUUGAAUGUUCCUAUAAGGACAAGGACGGCUGUCGGUGGAGAUUGUUAUUAAUACUGUUGGUUUCGGACAACUACACAGACACCACAUUGCCUUCCCGGAACAUUCACUGGAAAUAACAUUUGCCUAUUCGGAACAUUUGUUUGACUUUGGUUAUUAUACGUUGUUUGGCUAGUUAGCUCAUGUUACACGCUACUAAAGCGUGUUUGUACUUCUGUUUUGUUAUUGUGUUGUGUUGUAUUAUAUUGUGUGUGAUUAAAUUGUCUUAAAGGCAUUACAAGUGCUUUGUUAUAUUUUGCUGCUUUGACCAAGUAGAUUUUUUCCAAAUUCAAAUGUACCAUAUGCUAUAAACUGUGAAACAAAUUAGUUCCCCCCCCCAACUUUUUAUUUUUUGUUUUUUUAAUAACUCGAUACACAACUACCUGUCAUUUGAAACACACAAAGCUCGUGUCCUUUGCACCUGUGCAAUCCACUGUUCAUGAUGAAUCGAGUCUUUUGGAAAUGUGUGACGAGUGAAUCCAUCCUCCCGAGUGUUCGAGCAAAAUCCAGCAACACAAUGAGCUGGCAUUUUGGCUAACACGCAGAAAAAAAUGGUAAUUUCUUGCCGGUACAAAAGGUUAUGACACUGGACUCCGCUGCUGGAGCUGUCAGCAAAAUACGUCACUUCCGGCUUCUUCUUCAACCCAAAACCCUCGAGAGAUUUUUCGUGGUGGCAGAUGAAAAAAUCGUUAUACGGCAACAUUCUGACGUGUUGUGAACAAACGGAUGAGGACAUUCCGCCUGCUUUUUUUGGUUAACAACAUACCACAUUUCAUGUUUUAGGUGCAAAUGGCACUUUAAAUAAUGAUAUUGUAAAUUAUUUUACAUGUUAAAUAUUAUUUUAAUUAUAAUAAACAUCAAGUUUACAAUUAUUUAAAGUGUUUAUACAUUUUUUGGGACACCAUUAUUGGCAAUUCUUGACUUCUGUACCCUCCUGGACACCUCGGAUGUCCCUGAAAUCUUCUCCAGCCACCCUCACAGUCUGGUUACAUUAUCUCCUAAUAAAGCUUACCACAAGUACCGGUGGGUUCCAGUAUAAACCAUUUUAGUGACUUUGACUUUGUGCUGGCCAUAUAAUUAGAAUAUCGACAAUAAGUUUAUUUACAAUGGGUCCGUAAAGUAUUCAGAUCCACUUAAAUUAAAUUCUCAUUUUGCAGCCAUAUGUUAAGUUUAAGAUUCCUUUGCGCACACCAUAUUGACAGAAAAAAAAAGAAUAAAUAUAAUAAUAAAUAAAUUUUGCUUAUGUAUUAAAAAAAAACUGAAAUAUUACACAGCUAUAAAUAUUCAGACCCUUUGCUGUGACACAUUUAUCUCAUCCAGGUGCUGUCCAUUUCUUCUGAUCAUCUUUAAGUUGGGCCUACACUUUCACUGGAGUCCAGCUGUGUUUAAUUAUACUGAUUGGACUUGAUUAUGAAAGCCACAUCCCUGUCGACAGUAUAUAAAACUAGGGACUCCCAAGGUUUUUUUAAAAAUUGUUCAAAUGUAUUUUAGGUACCAAAUAGUUCCUUGGACUAUCUGUCUGUCUGUCUGUAAUGAGAAAAUGACACUUUUUUGACUACCUAUUAAUAUUGUUGGUCUACAUGCUCAAAAGAACAAAAAAACUACGUACAUGUGAAAAAAUUGGUCCUAGCUUGUUUAAUGCUAUAAAAUGAAUAUUCUGUCAGUUUCUUUGUUUUAACUUUUCAUUCAGUUCACAAGUUAAUACAUCAGAUGAUAAAUUAUCCCAUCCUUUUAUGAAAUAUGAGUGAAAACCCAACAAGAAAUGGGUUACAUGUGUAAUUUCCCUUAAGUUCUCCUAUGAAAAUUAGGCAAAAAGUAGACUUCCUUAAGCUUUGAAAGUUCCCGUGACUACAAAGACUGACACCAAAGGUUGUGUAAAGUAUUUUUUGCAAUGUAUUAAAAAUAUGCAUAAUGAAAUGCACAAAACGCAAUGGCGUAUUACUUGGGCAAGUUCACGAUGUAUUAAAAAAAAACAGAAAACUAGCUGUUACAGUGACAACUUCUUCAUCACUUGGAGUGGUUUUUUAGCAGUACUUGCACCCUAAGCACUCUCAACAUACUACUCUAUUAGCAUUCAACAUAUGGUCAGCUUACAUAAACAUACCCAAUUGUCGCCCAAGGGUGUCGGAUUCACGCAUGACCAUUUCACGGGAACGUUACCGUGUCGUUACCCAGCCUGAGAAAACACGGAACCGAAAGUCCGUUUCCCAGAUCUCGGGGCUUACUUUUAAUAAAACACGCCCACAUGUGGAAUGUAAAACAAGUUCUCAACGAAAUACAAAAAUCUGUAUAAAACAAACCUACAUGAACCCCUUAAUUUUUAAUCAUUAAAACGCCCAGCUUUGUCAGUGUAGUUUACAAACAGCACCGGUUUCAGCUUCUGCGGUACGCAUGCGCAAGGUCGAGUUAUUCAUAUCCAGGUGACUCAAACGCUAGUCAAACAUGUCGAUUGCUAAGCGUAAAAGACAAAAUGCUCAUGCCUGCUAAGGCUUUAUUCUGAAGUACAUGUAAAAACCGGUUCCCAUGAGCAUUAUCAAUGGGAACCGAAAAAUCGUUUCCCACCGUUUCCCAGGACAAAAAUCAACAGAACUGAAAGAUCGGUUCCCAUACUUGCCGAAAUCCUCAUGCCGGGGAUUUUUAUCAAGUCCAGUGACAGGUUAAGCAAGAGCACUGUAUCACAAUUCAUGCAGAAAUUAGUAUAAUGUACAUGUUUUUCAAGCCAUGUGCAGAAAUUUUAAGUAGAAUGAACCAGUAAAAAGCCUGGAUGUAGUUUCUAAGAUUUCCUUUUGAUCGCUCAUCAAUGUUCAGGACCACCUCGAGCAGCCAUGUUCCUUUUUGAUACCGGUGGCGCUGGAUGCUGGGUAUUAUUUAUUCAACUCAUACGGUCCAAAAAUAUAACAGAUUACUAAGACAAUUAGUUAUUGUUAUUAUUAGUUAUUAUGAAAGAUAACAUCAUCAUAUACUAUGUUUCACACUGAAAACCAUUAAAGAAAAGAUAUUUAAACUUUCGCUUUGCAUCAAAAACCCCUCAUUCUCGUCACAUUCCCUCCAAACUGGCCUGGAGGUUCUCCACGAUGCAUUGCACCAGGUCUCGAAUCAUUCAAGAGGCGCAAUUUCACAUCAGAUGCUGUAAUAGAACAAGUGUUUUGUGAACAAAAAAUGUAGAGCUUCUCUCGAAACCAGACUGACAGUGCCCCUCGCGGCCAUGGCGGUUGCUAAUAAGACCCAACAGCUCACAAUGCAUGUCAGAGCAAUCGACAAUCAUGAGGUCAAAGGUACUGCCUGAAAAGCUCGGACACAGAAUUGUGGCAAGGCACAAGACAAAUCUGGCCAAGGUUACAAAAAAAAAAAUCUGCUGCACUUCAAGUUCCCAAGAGCACAGUGGCCUCCAUAUGUCCUAAAUGGAAGACGUUUAUGAAUACCUGCAUGAACACAUUCGUAAAAUCUAAGAACCAGGCAAGGCUUACUGCAUGCUAUGCCACCAAAAUUUCAAGUACGGAUCAGACGGGAGGACACAUUUGGUGUACCACCUACAAGGAAAAAAAACAUACAUACAUACACACUACUGAAAUUUAAGUUGUUGAAUUACAGAUUGCCAGGUAGAUCUAAUCAUAUAUGAAAUAAUUUUGUUUAGAUUCUGAUUGAAGAUUAAAAUGUUAGAUCAGAUUGUGUGUGUGUGUGUGUGUGUGUGUGUGUGUGUGUGUGUGUGUGUGUGUGGUGUGUGUGUGUGUGUGUAUAUAUACACCCCUUUCCUCAGAUUUUCUCUUCAUUUCACAGCCCUGUUGUUAAGGAUCAGUCUUAUUUUGUUGCCAACGUUUCUGAAAUAAACCUGUAAAUUAAUGUCAAGACUACAUAAAAUAGGCGACGUCUUUCAAUAUCUAUUUUUCUACUCGUAACCAAUUUUACGUGUGAUUUUUCGUGCUCGACUGUGCAGAUUUGCGAGUGCGAUGGCGCGCGAGUGUGAUCACGCCCGCCAAAUGUGAGUGACUGAUACAAUGUGUGUGUGUGUGUGUGUGGUGUGUGUGUGUGUGUGUGUGUGUGUGUAUGUAUAUAUAUAUAUUUUUUUUUAAAUACACUUCUUAUUUAAAGAUGUGGAAAAUAAAAAAUGGGGUGGAAUUUUGGAGAAUGGAAUGGAUUAAUGGCAUUUAGUUAAUUUCAAAUGGGAAAUCCACUUCGACAUAAGAGCAACUUCAGAUAAGAGCUCUGUCACGGGACGAAUUAAACUCUUAUCUCAAGGCUUCAAACAUAAAGAUAUAAUUUUUUUUGGGUCAAAAAUCAACAAGUGGGACACAAUCAUGAAGUGGAAUGAAAAUUGGAUAUUUUACACUUUUUUUU